UGAAAUCUACAGUCCUUCCCUGUAAAUAAGAGAAAGAAAACUAAUAUUUAACUUCAGACCUCAAAACCAAUGAUGACUGAUGGGAGCUUUUACUCACAAACAACAUGAUAUCAACAAGAAACACUGAGAAAGCACAUGAACUAAUGUAAGAAGCUCCCAGUAACAGUUGGUGUAAGAGUUAAGAACAAAAGUAAGUUUCUUCAUUGGAAUCCAGUAAAACAAAAGUAAGUUUCCUCAUUGGAAUCCAGUAAAGUGAGAAUAGCCUCAAUUCUGCAUCUUCUUUAAGACUUUGUCCAUCCAAUCAUAUAAAUAAACAUGCACAUGUGUUUAGCGGUUUAGCAAUGAUUUCAACGCGAUAUCUAGUUUGACAUUAAUGGCUAUCCUUUAUAAGUGGACAAUCAUUCCAAGACCAAUCCAAAAGAAAGCAUAACAUAUAAAAGGUGAAUAGUCAGUAAAUGAAAAUCAACAUCAAGUGUUUUCAAGAGCUCUCUUUAGCUGUGUUCUUUGCAAUUACAACUGAACUUAUAACAAUUAGCAAGUGAUUCUAAAGAAGUGAUUAAGUCUAAAGGUUAAGUGAUUCUACAGAAGUAAUGCAAUAACAAUUAACAAGUGAUUAAGUCUAAAGGAAAUCAAGCACAUAAAUUUGAGCUUCCAUUGAUUCAAGCGAUUAAGUCUAAAGGAAUCAAGAACAUAGAGAGCAAAGCUAGUUUUAAUGUAGGAGUUGGGCAUUGAACUUGACAUUGACUACGAGCAUAUGAUUUUUAAUCUAACAAAUACGCAUAAGACUAAUCACACACAGUAUACACAGGACGAGACAAAAUAUAAAUA
rnacentral:misc_RNA from 1 species